rnacentral:misc_RNA from 1 species
UUGGGGCUCAGUGAUGCAGAAUGUGAAGCGGCCGUCGUGGCUGGAAAUGUGCCUGAGGCCCCUCCUGUGCCGCCUAAGCCCGCUGCACCGGCUGGAACUCCUGUGGUUCCUUCGCUUCCACUUAGCAGGCGUCCUCGUCGCAAUCGCAAGUCACCUGCAAUGAGAGCAUCAUUCCAGGAAACUAAUUUAUCGCCUGCAAAUUUUGUCUAUCCACUUUUUAUUCAU